CCUUAGGGUUAAACAAAAUUUUCCCCAAUUCGAUGCCAAAGCUGAGAUCCUCUCUUUCUUGCUUUGUAUGUUCGAUCGGUUUGAUUCCGUGACGAAGCUCGCUCUUCGCUGUGAUCGGAGGUCUUUUAGCUUGAGGAUGAAGCUUUGGUUAUGAUCUUGGUUCGUUGCUCGAAUCUGACUCGAGUCAAGCUUCGUGGUUGUCGCGAGAUUACGGAUCUAGGAUCUCUUUGAGCUUGAAAGAUGCAUUGAAUCUGGUGUGAACAAGACGAAGACACAAUUAGAUAUCUAUUUGGCUGAGCCGAGGCUAGAGUGGAAAGCAUUUCCCAAUUUAGAUGUUUUGAGCUACAGGAAAAGUAACCAAGGUUGACUUGGGGACUUAGCCUUGAUGGCCCGUGAUGUUCUCAGCAUCUCCAUUACUACUGUAGCCUCAGAAUCAGCUUUCAGCAUUGGAGCUAGGGUGUUGACUCCUUACAGAAAUCGUCUGCUGCCAGAAAAGGUUCAGGCUUUGCUUUGUACGCGUCAUUGGUUAAGAGGCUUUUCAGACUAUGAAGAAUCCGGCGAACAAGAGGGAGAUACACUGCGACAAACCAAGAAAAACUCUCUAGACCCGUUUGAGCUUUUGGUAUGUUAACAAACCAAGAAACAAAACUCUCUUUUGAUCCCUAUCUACUGGAGAAUACUAUGUAGUUCGACAAGUUUGUCUUAAUAUUAAUAUCGUGAUUUUGUGAGAGUUUGAAGCUUUUGUCAUAGAAUAUUUGUUAUUUGAAGCUUUUGUCAUAGAAUAUUCUCAUUUUCCAUUUGUUUCAAAAACAUAACAUAUGUUUCAGAUUUGUAUUCUGCUACUUAGCUUAU